rnacentral:rRNA from 1 species
UUGGAGGGCAAGUCUGGUGCCAGCAGCCGCGGUAAUUCCAGCUCCAAUAGCGUAUAUUAAAGUUGUUGCAGUUAAAAAGCUCGUAGUUGAAUUUCGGGGUUAGUAGGUUGGUCGUGCCUCAGGUAUGUACUGAUCUCACUGAUUCCUCCUUCCUGAUGAACCGUAAUGCCAUUAAUUUGGUGUUGCGGGGAAACUGGACUGUUACUUUGAAAAAAUUAGAGUGUUUAAAGCAGGCUAACGCUUGAAUACAUUAGCAUGGAAUAAUGAAAUAGGACGUUCGAUCCUAUUUUGUUGGUUUCUAGGAUUGACGUAAUGAUUAAUAGGGAUAGUUGGGGGCAUUAGUAUUCAAUUGUCAGAGGUGAGAUUCUUGGAUUUAUUGAAGACUAACUACUGCGAAAGCAUUUGCCAAGGAUGUUUUCAUUAAUCAAGAACGAAAGUUAGGGGAUCGAAGACGAUCAGAUACCGUCGUAGUCUUAACCAUAAACUAUGCCGACUAGGGAUCGGAUGAUGUUAAUUUUUUAAUGACUCAUUCGGCGCCUUACGGGAAA